UACGAGGGGGGCUAGCGUUGUUCGGAAUUACUGGGCGUAAAGCGCGCGCAGGCGGUCUUCCAAGUCAGUGGUGAAAGCCCGGAGCUCAACUCCGGAACUGCCAUUGAAACUGUGAGACUUGAGGAUGAGAGAGGUGAGUGGAAUUCCCAGUGUAGAGGUGAAAUUCGUAGAUAUUGGGAAGAACACCGGUGGCGAAGGCGGCUCACUGGCUCAUAUCUGACGCUCAGGCGCGACAGCGUGGGGAUCAAACAGG
rnacentral:rRNA from 1 species